CCCGAGUGCUUGCACUCAAUUGGAAAGAGGAGCGGCGGACGGGUGAGUAACACGUGGGCAACCUACCCAUCAGAGGGGGAUAACACUUGGAAACAGGUGCUAAUACCGCAUAACAGUUUAUGCCGCAUGGCAUAAGAGUGAAAGGCGCUUUCGGGUGUCGCUGAUGGAUGGACCCGCGGUGCAUUAGCUAGUUGGUGAGGUAACGGCUCACCAAGGCCACGAUGCAUAGCCGACCUGAGAGGGUGAUCGGCCACACUGGGACUGAGACACGGCCCAGACUCCUACGGGAGGCAGCAGUAGGGAAUCUUCGGCAAUGGACGAAAGUCUGACCGAGCAACGCCGCGUGAGUGAAGAAGGUUUUCGGAUCGUAAAACUCUGUUGUUAGAGAAGAACAAGGACGUUAGUAACUGAACGUCCCCUGACGGUAUCUAACCAGAAAGCCACGGCUAACUACGUGCCAGCAGCCGCGGUAAUACGUAGGUGGCAAGCGUUGUCCGGAUUUAUUGGGCGUAAAGCGAGCGCAGGCGGUUUCUUAAGUCUGAUGUGAAAGCCCCCGGCUCAACCGGGGAGGGUCAUUGGAAACUGGGAGACUUGAGUGCAGAAGAGGAGAGUGGAAUUCCAUGUGUAGCGGUGAAUGCGUAGAUAUAUGGAGGAACCCAGUGGCGAGGCGGCUCUCUGGUCUGAACUGACGCUGAGCUCGAGGCGUGGGAGCAACAGAU
rnacentral:rRNA from 1 species